CGUGCAGGUGGUUCGGUAAGUUAGGCGUGAAAUCUCCCGGCCCAACUGGGAGAGGUCGUCUAAUACUACCGAACUUGAGAGCAGAAGAGGAAGAUGGAAUUCCCGGUGUAGUGGUGAAAUGCGUAGAUAUCGGGAGGAACACCAGUGGCGAAGGCGAUCUUCUGGUCUGUUUCUGACACUCAGACGCGACAGCUAGGGUAGUAAACG
rnacentral:rRNA from 1 species